rnacentral:tRNA from 2 species
GCCCGCUUGGCGGAAUUGGUAGACGCAAGGGACUUAAAAUCCUCGGCCUUUAGGCUGUGCCGGUUCGAGUCCGGCAGCGGGCACCA